GGCCAUAUCGCUUUGAAACAGCGUUUUGCUUAUACGGUCACCGAAGUUAAGCAACGUCGAGCCUGGUCAGUACUUAGAUGGGUGACCGCCUGUGAAUACCAGAUACUGUG